rnacentral:rRNA from 1 species
GCCCACUGAUAAUUAUUAAAGGGCCGCAGUAUUUUGACUGUGCGAAGGUAGCAUAAUCAAUAGUCUUUUAAUUGAAGGCUUGUAUGAAUGGUUGAAUGAGAUAUAUACUGUCUUUUUUAAAUUUUUAUAGAAUUUUAUUUUUUAAUUAAAAAGUUAAAAUAUAAUUAAAAGACGAGAAGACCCUAUAGAUCUUUAUUUUUGUUAAUUAUAAAUUAAAAAGAAUAAUUAAAUUUAUAAUUUAAUAAAAAAUUUUACUGGGGUGGUAUUAAAAUUUAAUUAACUUUUAUUAUUUAUUUACAUUAAUAUAUGAAUAUUUGAUCCAAUUAUAUUGAUUAAAAAAUUAAGUUACCUUAGGGAUAACAGCGUAAUUUUUUUUUAGAGUUCUUAUCGACAAAAAAGAUUGCGACCUCGAUGUUGGAUUAAGAGUUAUUUUUAGGUGUAGAAGUUUAAAGUUUAGGUCUGUUCGACCUUUGAAUUCUUACAUGAUCUGAGUUCAAACCGGCGUAAGCCAGGUUGGUUUCUAUCUUUAAUUAAUUAUUAUAUUAUAGUACGAAAGGACCUAAUAUAAAAAAUAUAAAUUUUAAAUAUAUGAAUUAUAUUAAUAUUUAAUAAAACUAUUUUGGCAGAUUAGUGCAAUAAAUUUAGAAUUUAUUUAUAUAAUUUAAUUAAUUAUAAAUAGUAUUGUUUUUUAUAGAUUAUUUGUUAUCAUUAAUUGGAAGUUUAUUAUUAGUAAUUUGUGUAAUAGUAGGAGUAGCCUUUUUGACUUUACUAGAGCGUAAAGUUUUAGGAUACAUUCAAAUUCGA